CCAUUUUCCGGGAUUAGACAUCGAAUUCUGUGAAGUGCUACGAAAAAUCGUAAAAUUCCAUGUUAAACUCACAUCAAUUGCUGUAAUUUUUACACGAAAGAGAAGUUCUUACGCACUGACAUAAAACUGGCAGUUUUUGAAAACGGCAAAGAGUUUAGCAUAAAUUGAACGUUCACGUUUUAUGUCGUUCCCCUGUCUAGCGCGAUACGACUUAAAUUAAUGGCUAGCAACAGUAACGCCGCACCAAGCACAAGCAGCGAUUCAAAGGACAGCAGAUGGUACUUCACAGCCGAGCAAUUAGCAAAUUCGCCAAGUCGAAGGCAAGGCAUCGAUGCAAACCAGGAGCUUUCCUACCGACAGCAGACUGCAUAUCUCAUACAGGAAAUGGGGCAGCGCCUGUCAGUGUCGCAGUUAUGCAUCAAUACAGCAAUUGUCUACAUGCAUCGAUUUUAUGCAUUCCAUUCCUUCACCCACUUCCAUAGAAAUGGAAUCGCGGCGGCGAGUCUCUUUCUCGCGGCCAAAGUUGAGGAACAGCCCCGCAAGCUAGAACAUGUAAUUAAAGUGGCACAUUUGUGCCUCAGUACAGAAUUUCCACAUGCAGCGUCGGAUGUUUACAAUGAACAGGCACAGGAUCUAGUUUUCAACGAGAACGUUCUUCUCCAGACGCUUGGAUUUGAUGUUGCCAUUGAUCACCCGCACACACAUGUCGUCAAAACAUGUCACCUGGUUAAAGCCUGCAAAGAUUUGGCUCAAACUUCGUAUUUCCUCGCUUCCAACAGCUUACAUUUGACUUCCAUGUGUCUACAGUACAGGCCUACAGUAGUUGCAUGCUUCUGUAUUUACUUAGCGUGUAAAUGGUCGCGAUGGGAAAUUCCACAAUCGACAGAAGGAAAACAUUGGUUUCACUAUGUCGAUACAAGCGUAACGCUGGAUUUAUUGAAACAACUCACAGAUGAAUUCCUAGCAAUCUAUGAAAAGAGUCCAGCUCGAUUGAAGUCGAAACUGAAUUCAAUAAAGGCUUUAGCUCAGAGUGCACGAAUGAACGAACCGCAAAGACCUAUCGCAGAUGCAAAUGGUUCGAAUUCUCAAGUACCACCAGAAUCAGCACGGAGACCUGAAUCGUAUUCUAGUCAUCAUAGACAUCAUUCAUCUGCUAGCUCACAUCAUACUCAUCAUUCUAAGCCGCAGUUACCACCAACUGAAUCAGGGGAUCAUGGGAAACCUACCCUAUCACACAAACAACAGCAGCCGUACACAAGCGCAUCGUCCGGUAGUGGUCAUUCUUCGAGCCGACCACCUCGUCCCGACCGGCCACAAUUGGUACCCGAUGGACAAAUGCAUCCAUCGCACGGUGGAAGCAACAAACAACCAGUUCUACCUAACGUUCCGCGACCAAGUAGCAGCAGACCCCCACACGGUAUGCCAAUACCAUCCGGAACAAGCAACACUUCACAACGCCUUCCACAUGGGCCGCAUGAUCCAAACUAUCAUAAAAAUAGAAGUUCAAUACAACCUCCAAACAAUCCCUCUAUAGUUAGCGGGCACAAGUCCAUGUCGAAAUCCAACGACCCUCAAAGGAGCUUGUUGAAAGAUCCUUCCGGUCGUCCUAUAGAUCCAAACAAAAUACCAGCCAAACAUAGCAGUGGGAGUAACAUGGGUAGUUCCAAUAACAAUAGCAAUUCAAAUAUGUUUACAGGACCAAAUGUAGGUGCAACUGGAAUAGAUUUGACAAGGAAUGUUCAACAGAUAUCACAGCCGCAGCUACAGAGACCUUUCGUACCGACUAAUGUACAGCCUCCAACCUAUAAUCAAACUAUAUCAAGCCGUAGCAACAGCAAUAGUUCUUUAAAAUAUGAUCAAUCCGUCCAGCAACAGCAGCAACAAAUGCAUUUGCAGUCAGGUCAGAAGCAAUCUUUAGAGUCUUCCUUCAAUCAACAACAACAAGCUAGUUCGCGUCAAAUCGAUGAAAGUAGUAAUAAUAAAACAGAACAAAUGGAGAUAUGUUCGCCAACGAAAUAUUAUCCGCAACCGCCGUCAGUUCAAUCACUCCCAGUUCAGCCUCCACAAGCAAAUUUACCCCAGCCCGUAACAUCUCAAAGCAAAACUUCGUCAAUAUUCAGUCCUGAAUGGAAUGACAAAGUAGCAACGCAUCCUAAUUUACCUUUAAAUACUAAUAGCAAAACAAGUUCUGAUAGUAAUUUGGAUAGACCAUCAGUAUUAGGAUUAGGCAUGAAACAAAACAGGGAAAGUCCAAAGAGGUCAGAUCGGGAACGGCGUUCAGAGACGCCGAAAAAGGACAAAACCCGGCCAGAUCAACAACCUGCCGAUCCCAGCAAAUUUUCGAUGCAGAGUGAUAAGAGAAAUAGCAACAAAAAGGUAAUAGAUAUACCUAACCAGCCAAUGAUUCAGAAUACUGCCUCAGGUGUACCCCCAUACGACACCAAAAAUCAACAAGCUCUAAACUUGAGUGGCGUAAAGCGACCGAGCGAAGGAGUCGCUCGAUUAGAUGAAGAACGAGAUGUGAAAAUUCGGAAGGUGGAACCUCAAUUAUCACCGAAAAGCAGUAGCGAUCAAAAACAGAUGUAUCCUUUCGAUCAAGGUGGAUCUGUAGAUUCCUCGCGAUCAGCCAAACCUUCGUACUCAUCAACUGUUAACGGCAUAGAAACUGAUCCGGAUUUAGUUCGAAAUUUAUUAAAAGAGAGCCUGUGUACAGAUAACAAAUUUUUAAUUAAACCAGAACCUAUUUUGAACUAUGUCGAUAUUAAGCCCAUAGAACCCUUAAGUGACAUGGAAACUCUACCCGCGCAACUACUACAAAAUGAGUCUCCAAUAAAAGAGACAAUCAAAGAAGAGCCUAGUGUCCUUGUUCCGAGUUUAAGUACUAGUGGGAACACAAGUGGUGAUGCUUACUCUAAGUCGAAAGCAGAGAAAAAGAAGAAAAAAGACAAGCACAAGCAUAAAGAGAAGGAUAAGUCGAAAGAUAAGGAAGAGCGUAAGAAGCAUAAGAAAGAUAAGAACAAGGAGCGUUCGUCUGGUAACGAACAGGAGCAGAAUCACGUGAAACUGACCAUACCGAAGGAGAAACUUAAUCUUACGUCACUAGGACCACCACCUUCUCUACCAACCUCGGAGUUGAAAAUAAAAAUUCCAAAAGAUCGAAUACGUGCCGAAUUAACCCAAUAUCAAGUGGAUGAUAAUGUUCAUACAGCACAACCAGCACUAGCACCCCCGCCGCAGCCUAGUUCCUUAAAAAUAAAAAUAUCUAAAGAUAAAAUAGAAAGUUAUAGUCAUCAUUCGCAACAUCAUUCAUCGUCGUCUUAUAGCAGUAGUGGUAGCCAUCAUAGUCAUCAUAGUAGCAAGAAAAAGGAUCGUGAUCGCGAUAAGGAUCGUGAGAAGGAUAAAAAGCGCAGUAGCAGCAGCAGCAAUAACGACCAUAAUAAACAAAAUGGUAGUGGGAGCGGCGGUGGAAGUGGUAGCGGUUUAUCAGAAUCCACAUCUGCGUCAACGAAAAAUCAAUCAUCGAAUUCAAAUAAGUAUUAAAUGUAUAAGUAUGCAGAACUACCAAAGACAGCAAGAUUCUAAUAAACAAAAAAAAUUAAACAAUCCAACAAUAUACCACCAAUAUGAGCCAACUAUUUGGUGAUUUGAAUGAUGACGACGAUUCACCAUCGCCACCGUCACCGUCAAUGUAUCUACAUCAACAACAGCAGCCACAAACA
rnacentral:misc_RNA from 1 species